rnacentral:sRNA from 1 species
UGUAAAUAGUUGCUAUACUAUGUUGUUUAGUGAAAUAAUGACAAGAAAAAGUCAACAUGUUUUGGUACAGGUGCAAUUUAAACAUUGUGUGUGUGUGAAUGAGUGAGUGUGUGUGUGUGUGUGUUUGUGUGUGUCUGUGUUUUACAGGGGAUUGAACCCAGAGCUUCAUGCAUGCUAAGCAAGCACUCUACCACUGAGCUUCAA